rnacentral:rRNA from 1 species
UCCGGAUUGGAGUCUGCAACUCGACUCCAUGAAGUCGGAAUCGCUAGUAAUCGUAGAUCAGAAUGCUACGGUGAAUACGUUCCCGGGCCUUGUACACACCGCCCGUCACACCAUGGGAGUGGGUUGCAAAAGAAGUAGGUAGCUUAACCUUCGGGAGGGCGCUUACCACUUUGUGAUUCAUGACUGGGGUGAAGUCGUAACAAGGUAACCGUAGGGGAACCUGCGGUUGGAUCACCUCCUUA